rnacentral:rRNA from 1 species
AAUGAACGCUGGCGGCAGGCCUAACACAUACAAGUCGAACGGAUCCUUCGGGAUUAGUGGCGGACGGGAGAGUAACGCGUGGGAACAUACCCUUUGGUACGGAAUAGCCUCGGGACACUGGGCGUAAUACCGUAUGUCGUCGAGAGACGAAAGAUUUAUCGGCACAGGAUUGGACCGCGUUUGAUUAGGUAGUGGGUGGGGUAAUGGCCUACCAAGCCGACGACGCCUAGCUGGGUUGAGAGGGAGAUCAGCCACAAUGGGACUGAGACACGGCCCAGACUCCUACGGGAGGCAGCAGUGGGGAAUCUUGGAAAAUGGGGGAAACUCUGAUCUAGCGAUGCCGCGUGAUGGAUGAAGGCCUUAGGGUUGUAAAGAUCUUUCAGGUGGGAAGAGAAUGACGGUACCACAAGAAGAAGCCCCGGCUAACUCCGUGCCAGCCGCCGCCGUAA